rnacentral:tRNA from 1 species
CCUUCGAUAGCUCAGUUGGUAGAGCGGUGGACUGUAGAGAGGACUAAUGUAGCGUAGAAAUCCAUAGGUCGCUGGUUCAAAUCCGGCUCGAAGGA